GUGGAUUAGAUACCCUGGUAGUCCACGCCGUAAACGAUGAUAACUAGCUGUCGGGGCUCUUAGAGCUUCGGUGGCGCAGCUAACGCAUUAAGUUAUCCGCCUGGGGAGUACGGUCGCAAGAUUAAAACUCAAAGGAAUUGACGGGGGCCUGCACAAGCGGUGGAGCAUGUGGUUUAAUUCGAAGCAACGCGCAGAACCUUACCAGCGUUUGACAUGGUAGGACGACUUCCAGAGAUGGAUUUCUCCCUUCGGGGCCUACACACAGGUGCUGCAUGGUCGUCGACAGCU
rnacentral:rRNA from 1 species